rnacentral:rRNA from 1 species
AUUGAACGCUGGCGGAAUGCUUUACACAUGCAAGUCGAACGGCAGCACGGGGGCAGCCCUGGUGGCGAGUGGCGAACGGGUGAGUAAUACAUCGGAACGUGCCCGGUCGUGGGGGAUAACGUAGCGAAAGUUACGCUAAUACCGCAUACGAUCUGAGGAUGAAAGCGGGGGACCUUCGGGCCUCGCGCGAUCGGAGCGGCCGAUGUCAGAUUAGGUAGUUGGUGGGGUAAAGGCCUACCAAGCCGACGAUCUGUAGCUGGUCUGAGAGGACGACCAGCCACACUGGGACUGAGACACGGCCCAGACUUCUACGGGAGGCAGCAGUGGGGAAUUUUGGACAAUGGGCGCAAGCCUGAUCCAGCCAUUCCGCGUGCAGGACGAAGGCCUUCGGGUUGUAAACUGCUUUUGUACGGAACGAAAAGGCUCUGGCUAAUACCUGGGGCUCAUGACGGUACCGUAAGAAUAAGCACCGGCUAACUACGUG